rnacentral:misc_RNA from 1 species
AACGCACCUUGCGCUCCUUGGUAUUCCGAGGAGCAUGCCUGUUUGAGUGUCUUGAAGUCAUCAACCCCUCCCGUUUCGUGCGGAGAGGUGCGUUGGAGCUGGGGGACAUGCGGUCGUGAGGCCGCUCCCUUCAAAUGCUUCGGUAGGGCCUGUGGGUCGAACCCGGUCGGGCGUUGUAACAACCUCGCUCUGCUUACGGGACGUUCCCCUCUCGCGCCCUCCCUUGACCGCCUGUGGAGCGGUGGUCAGCGACACUUUGUAAUCUGACCUCAAAUCAGGUAGGACUACCCGCUGAACUUAA